ensembl:lncRNA
AGGAGAAAAGAUAAAACAUCACGUAUCUAUCACAGCACAAUACACCAGUAACUAACCUAUAACAAAGGCAAGCGCAACAAUACUGACCACUUUUCUCAUGCAGAGUUGUUGGUGYCCAGUGCUGUCCCGCACUGAAGGCUGGCUGGGUGCUGGGCCGGGGUCCGUGCUGGUUUCCCUGGGUCAGGGCCGGUGGAGACUCCUGGCUGUCAGUGCCUGGUCUCUUGACUCUGACGUAACUAGACCAUACCCACAGAAAUGUCGGCAUUUCAACGUCAGUGCCCUCAGAUUUCUCACAAGAAGGCAAAAGCGUCUGGACAAACGAGAUGUGCAGUGUGCUUGAGCAGUUGUGCUGUAGCAUGCGAGCUCAAACGGACUGAACUGAACCUCAUUAUUUACACACAUUUCAACAAAGAAGGGGGUCUCCCCUUUCACUUCACUCACUUCAGCUCAGCAUAUGCAGGUGAAUAGAGGAACACAGACUGGCUGGUCAGAAAAUACUUCCAAACAGCAUGAGAAAGACUAAUUCACAGCCUACAGACAAUUAGACAGGAUUAACUUGCAUAAUGAUAUUACUGUUGAUUAUAAUGGGAGUAAGAACAUUUAUGUGACAGAUACAUUAUGCAAUUAUAUGGUGUAUAAUUAUAUGGUAUUACUGUAGUGUCAGUUAUAAGGAUGUAAAUCGCUUACAUAUAUUAGUCUGUGUCUUUGGAGAAAACAAAAAGAGGCUGAUACUUUUCUUCCUGCUCGAUUCCCGUAGAGAAGAUGAUACUUGACUAGUUCUCAAAAUGUCUGUGGAAACACAGGAAAAAGUGCUACGGCUUUUUACAUUUUAUCUUUAAUAUUCUGUUAUUUAAGUGUGUAAUAUUUCAUAUGCACCCAAAGUUUUAAUGAUCAUGCCUUCCACUGCACCUGUAUAAGAAAAGAAAGGAAAGGAGAUUGACAAUUUUGGCAGUGAGCAUUUUGAAGGGAAAACCACAAGCAAAUUCAGCACAGGAAAGACCCAGAAGAGGAAAAUAAGAUACAGAAGAAAAAUCUGAAUGUUUGACUGAAAAGAAACGAAUAGACUUUUAUGGAGAGGAAAGCAGACAAGCUUUGACUAUUAUCUUUAAGCAGGAGAGAGAACAAUCAAAACUGACCUUACAGCAUGUGAGCUUUGGUGAUGCAGAAGAGGUGGUGGUAUUACUGCAACACAGGAUGAGAAAAUGAAGAGCACUACUGCAGAACAGUGAAGUCAGUUUUGGCUAAGCCAAACGUGAAAAGCCGGUCAAUCAGCCAAGAUUAAAGAUCUGAGAACCUCUAAAGGACACAUGAUUAAACGGAGCGCAGAAAGGACUAGCGUGGAUAAAUGCAAUUGAAAGUUGUCAGAAAUGAGUGAUACAUAAAUCCUCGUGAACAGCUGAAGCCACUUUUGAACACGGAUUUAGGGCUGGAAGACUUAACCUCCAUGCGCUGCCCAAGGGCAAGAUUCCUUGCCACUCUCUGACUGUUCUUUUUUUCUUUCUUUGCGGGAGGGGGGGUGAAGCACUUUGUGCUGAAUUGCUGCUUUUGGAAGGUUUUACUCAUCUUAAUCAUUGAUGAUCAACUGAGCAAACUCAUAGGAUGAGUAAUAGGUUUUCUUAACUAUAAAAAUGAUGGCUAAAUAAAGGAACCGAUUAAAAUGUAUCUUUAUUAAAU